AUUGAACGCUGGCGGCAUGCCUUACACAUGCAAGUCGAACGGUAACAGGUCUUCGGAUGCUGACGAGUGGCGAACGGGUGAGUAAUACAUCGGAACGUGCCCGAGAGUGGGGGAUAACGAGGCGAAAGCUUUGCUAAUACCGCAUACGAUCUCAGGAUGAAAGCAGGGGACCGCAAGGCCUUGCGCUCACGGAGCGGCCGAUGGCAGAUUAGGUAGUGGGUGGGAUAAAAGCUUACCAAGCCGACGAUCUGUAGCUGGUCUGAGAGGACGACCAGCCACACUGGGACUGAGACACGGCCCAGACUCCUACGGGAGGCAGCAGUGGGGAAUUUUGGACAAUGGGCGCAAGCCUGAUCCAGCCAUGCCGCGUGCAGGAUGAAGGCCUUCGGGUUGUAAACUGCUUUUGUACGGAACGAAAAGCCCUGGGUUAGUACCCUGGGGUCAUGACGGUACCGUAAGAGUAAGCACCGGCUAACUACGUGCCAGCCGCCGCAGUAAUAC
rnacentral:rRNA from 1 species